CCUGGUGACCAUAGCGGGGAGGCAACACCUGUUCCCAUACCGAACACAGAAGUUAAGCUCCCUUGCGCUGAUGGUACUGCACGGGCGACCGUGUGGGAGAGUAAGUCGUCGCCAGGU
rnacentral:rRNA from 1 species